CACAAAAACAGGAAAAACAGCAGCCAUAACUCCUUUAACCAGGAACUCAAUUACCUAACUUCAGGGGCGACGACACGGCUCCCCUUUUUCUGCAGGUAUGCCACUCUGACCUAUUGUGUGACUAACCAGCCGCCUGGAGGGGCACAAUUACAGCCAGAUACAAAGGAGUCGCUGCUCCGGUUGGUGUUGUCUGGUUGGAGGAAACUGCGGGGAAGCGACGGUUGCUGUGUUAUUGUUGCCGCGCGGAUGUGAUUCUGUCAGGUUGCAGGUGCCGGAGGGAGCGAUCCUGUUCUGUUGUAUAUAGGUUGAAGAUCUGCGCUCAGAUCUUGCUGUGGGAGCCCGAGUCUGCAGAAUCUGUUCAAAAGACAACCAGGCCAACCAAGUGGAGGGAAGGAAGAGGGGAGGAGGAGGGAGAGGGAAGCAUAUGAGCACAUCAACUCACUUCAAAAGCCGGAGUUUAAUUUGUCAGCAGCCAGAGAAGUCAGAGACAAAAAGGUAGCACUACAAAGGAGCUAUCAUUCUGUCAGUCAGCUGGCUGGUUGGCUGGCCGGCAAGACAGCCAGCGAAGUCCGCCCGCUCCCCAACCCACCAGCCCUACUGCCCUUUGAUGAGCGCUUCCCACCCCCUUCUGCUGCCAGUGACAAGCGGAUGGCAGGAUCCCUCUACUUUUGCUUUGUAGAGCCUGUUGUCAAACACUUCCUCGACACUCUGCCAUUCUGUCUGUUAUCAGGCCCGCUGUGACACUCUCCUCCAAAAACCCCAUCCGCAUCCGAGAUUUUGCACCACGGCGUGUCCCCAUCUCUGUCCACUGCAGCCUCUCGCGGCGGCUCGGCGCUGCGCAGCUGUCAGCGGUGUCAGGCUCCGGGAGACUUGAAAGCAGAACAAGAAUGUAGUUGAGACUCAGAGCAGUUUUCAUGGCCAGUGGCAGAGUCUGACUGUGAAUUAGUGUGAUUGCUAGCCACGAGAAUUCGCUUUGCCAAAUUGGUGUACAUAACAUAAAGUGUAAUGCAAACAACGCAAAGUGACUGACAUCCAGCUAUUCCGCAUUAACACAGCUGCAUUUUUCAAAACAAAAUCAGGGUGGAGCGGCGUGUAACAGGCAGUAAAUGUGAAAAAAGU